ACCUCGGUUGCUUAGUGGUCAAAGCGCUAAAUUGAAGCUUUAGAGAUGUGAGUUCAAUUCUCCCCCGGGGUA
rnacentral:tRNA from 1 species